rnacentral:rRNA from 1 species
AGAAUCAACGCUGGCGGCGUGCCUAACACAUGCAAGUCGAACGAGAAAGGGGGAGCAAUCCCUGAGUACAGUGGCGACCGGGUGAGUAACACGUGACUAACCUACCCUCGAGUGUGGAAUAACAUCGGGAAACCGAUGCUAAUACCGCAUAACAUCGCAAGAUCAAAGGAGUAAUCCGCUUGAGGAGGGGGUCGCGGCUGAUUAGCUAGUUGGCGGGGUAAUGGCCCACCAAGGCGAAGAUCGGUAUCCGGCCUGAGAGGGCGCACGGACACACUGGAACUGAAACACGGUCCAGACUCCUACGGGAGGCAGCAGUGGGGAAUUUUGCGCAAUGGGGGAAACCCUGACGCAGCAACGCCGCGUGGAGGAUGAAGCCCCUUGGGGCGUAAACUCCUUUCGACCAAGACGAUAAUGACGGUACUGGUGGAAGAAGCACCGGCUAACUCUGUGCCAGCAGCCGC